UCAGGACGAACGCUGGCGGCGGGCUUAACACAUGCAAGUCGAACGAGAACGCGUCCUUCGGGGCGCAAGUACAGUGGCGCACGGGUGAGUAACGCGUAGGCAACCUGCCCUCGAGUGGGGAAUAACUAUCGGAAACGGUAGCUAAUACCGCAUGAAGUCCUGAACUGCAUGGUUCAGGAUGAAAGUCUUCGGAUGCUCGGGGAUGGGCCUGCGUCGGAUUAUGCUUGUAGGUAGGGUAACAGCCUACCUAGGCUACGAUCCGUAGCUGGUCUGAGAGGACGAUCAGCCACACUGGCACUGAGACACGGGCCAGACUUCUACGGAAGGCAGCAGUGGGGAAUCUUGGGCAAUGGGCGAAAGCCUGACCCAGCCACGCCGCGUGGAGGAAGACACCCCUACCGGGCGUAAACUCCUUUUUUACGGGAAGAAGACCUUCCUCGGGAAGGUUUGACGGUACCGUACGAAUAAGCACCGGGCUAACUCCGUGCCAGCAGCCGCCGGUAAUACGGAGGGUGCAAGCGUUGUCCGGAUUCCCUGGGUGUAAAGGGUGUGUA
rnacentral:rRNA from 1 species